GGCAGCAGCCGCGGUAAUACCGGCGGCUCGAGUGGUGGCCACUUUUAUUGGGCUUAAAGCGUUCGUAGCUGGGUUGUUAAGUCUCUUGGGAAAUCCGGCAGCUUAACUGUCGGGCGUCUAAGGGAUACUGGUAAUCUUGGAACCGGGAGAGGUGAGGGGUACUUCGGGGGUAGGAGUGAAAUCCUGUAAUCCUCGAGGGGCCACCUGUGGCGAAGGCGCCUCACCAGAACGGCUUCGACAGUGAGGGACGAAAGCUGGGGGAGCAAACCGGAUUAGAUACCCGGGUAGUCCCAGCCGUAAACGAUGUGCGUUAGGUGUAUCGACGACCACGAGUCGUCGAGGUGCCGAAGGGAAACCGUGAAACGUACCGCCUGGGAAGUACGGUCGCAAGGCUGAAACUUAAAGGAAUUGGCGGGGGAGCACCACAACAGGUGGAGCCUGCCGGUUUAAUUGGACUCAACGCCGGAAAUCUCACCGGAUAAGACAGCUGAAUGAUUGCCGGGCUGAAGACUCUGCAUGACUAGCUGAGGGGUGGUGCAUGG
rnacentral:rRNA from 1 species